rnacentral:rRNA from 1 species
UCUCUCAGUACGGUCGGAAAUCGUACGUAGAGUGUAAAGGCAAAAGAGAGCUUGAUUGCAAGACAUACAGGUCGAGCAAGGAUGAAAAUCGGACUUAGUGAUCCGGUGGUUCUGCGUGGAAGGGCCAUCGCUCAACGGAUAAAAGCUACCCUGGGGAUAACAGGCUUAUCUCCCCCAAGAGUCCACAUCGACGGGGAGGUUUGGCACCUCGAUGUCGGCUCAUCACAUCCUGGGGCUGUAGUAGGUCCCAAGGGUUGGGCUGUUCGCCCAUUAAAGUGGUACGCGAGCUGGGUUCAGAACGUCGUGAGACAGUUCGGUCCCUAUCCGUCGCAGGCGUAGGAAAUUUGAGAAGACCUGUCCUUAGUACGAGAGGACCGGGAUGGACGUACCUCUGGUGUACCAGUUGUCCUGCCAAGGGCAUGGCUGGGUAGCUAUGUACGGAAUGGAUAAGCGCUGAAAGCAUCUAAGCGCGAAGCCAACUUCAAGAUAAGAUUUCCCACCGCAAGGGUAAGACCCCAGAAAGACUAUCUG